rnacentral:rRNA from 1 species
GACGAACGCUGGCGGCGUGCUUAACACAUGCAAGUCGAACGGAAAGGCCUUUUCGGAGGUACUCGAGUGGCGAACGGGUGAGUAACACGUGGGUGAUCUGCCCUGCACUCUGGGAUAAGCCUGGGAAACUGGGUCUAAUACCGGAUAGGACCGCACUCUAGUGUGUGUGGUGGAAAGUUUUUUCGGUGUAGGAUGAGCCCGCGGCCUACCAGCUUGUUGGUGGGGUAAUGGCCUACCAAGGCGGCGACGGGUAGCCGGACUGAGAGGUUGGUCGGCCACAUUGGGACUGGGAUACGGCCCAGACUCCGACGGGAGGCAGCAGUGGGGAAUGUUGCUCAAUGGGCGCAGGCCUGAUGCAGCGGCGCCGCGUGGGGGAUGACGGACUUCGGGUUGUAAACUCCUUUCGCCAGGGACGAAGCGGUUUGUGACGGUACCUGGAGAAGAAGCACCGGCUAACUACGUG